ACGUGUUUGGCAAAUAUUCGGACAAAUUUGAGAAAAACCAAGGAAUUAGCAAUGCAUCUGCGCAAGGAUGACAAGCCAAAUCGUGAAGCGUAUUACAUUUAA